AGUGGAUGGGGAGCAACCUAGUUGUGCGUGUGUAAAGGUAGUGCCAAGAAAAGCGAUGAUCAUGUUGAAAAUCAAUUCCCGGUACCCGAAACCGACACAGGUGGGCAAGUAGAGAAUACUAAGGGGCGCGAGGUAACUCUCUCCAAGGAACUCGGCAAAAUGACCCCGUAACUUAGGGAGAAGGGGUGCCACCGAGAGGUGGUCGCAGUGAAGAGGCCCAGGCGACUGUUUAGCAAAAACAUAGGUCUCUGCAAACUCGAAAGAGGAGGUAUAGGGGCUGACGCCUGCCCAGUGCCGGAAGGUUAAAGAAGUUGGUCAGUUUAAGGAUGAAGCUAGCGACUGAAGCCCCGGUGAACGGCGGCCGUAACUAUAACGGUCCUAGGUAGCGAAAUUCCUUGUCGGGUAAGUUCCGACCCGCACGAAAGGCGUAACGAUCUGGGCGCUGUCUCGGAGAGAGGCUCGGCGAAAUAGGAUUGUCUGUGAAGAUACGGACUACCUGCAUUUGGACAGAAAGACCCUAUGAAGCUUUACUAUAGCUUGGAAUUGUGUUCGGGCUUCCUGUGCGCACGAUAGGUGGGAGGCGUAGAAGGUAUUCUUGUGGGGAUACUGGAGCCAACGGUGAGAUACCACUCUCAGGAGGCUAGAAUUCUAACUUAAUUAAGGACAGUUUCAGGUGGGUAGUUUGACUGGGGCGGUCGCCUCCAAAAAGGUAACGGAGGCGUACAAAGGUUCCCUCAGACUGGUUGGAAAUCAGUCGAAGAGUGCAAAGGCAGAAGGGAGCUUGACUGCGAGAAGUACAGUUCGAGUAGGGUGGAAACACGGUCUUAGUGAUCCGACGGUGCUGUGUGGAAGGGCCGUCGCUCAACGGAUAAAAGUUACUCUAAGGAUAACAGGCUGAUCUCCCCCAAGAGUUCACAUCGACGGGGAGGUUUGGCACCUCGAUGUCGGCUCAUCGCAACCUGGGGCGGAAGUACGUCCCAAGGGUUGGGCUGUUCGCCCAUUAAAGCGGUACGUGAGCUGGGUUCAGAACGUCGUGAGACAGUUCGGUCCAUAUCCGAUGUAGGCGUGAGAAUAUUGAGAGGAGCCUUCCUUAGUACGAGAGGACCGGGAAGGACGCACCGCUGGUGUACCUGUUAUGAUGCCAAUUGUAAACGCAGGGUAGCCAAGUGCGGAGAGGAUAACCGCUGAAAGCAUCUAAGUGGGAAGCCCACCUCAAGAUGAGUAUUCUGGUGUAAGCUCACGGGAAGACGACCCGUAAAUAGGCACGAGGUGGAAGUGCAGAGAUGUAUGAAGCCGAAGUGUACUAAUAGACCGUCGGCUUGACC
rnacentral:rRNA from 1 species